CCAGCAUAGAUACCCUCAGGAGGUCGCUUUCUUUAGUUCUGUCCAAGAGGCACAGGGGAGCACAGGGGUCUGCUCACAUCUACAAUCACUUUCCAUGAUUUUGGAAAAACUGGCGUUUGCCUGAAUUUGUAUACCUGUAUCAUUCAUUCAUUU
rnacentral:snoRNA from 1 species